GAGUAAAGUUCCUGGAAAUGAAUCUGUAAACAAAUAGCAAAUAAACCAUCAGCAGAGCUCAAUGAAUUCAAGUUUCUGGAUUUCUGUACACAGAAACACACAAAUAAAUGAGAUAAUUUUAACGAUAAUAAGCAAACUGAAAUACUUUCUUUUCUAAUUUAAAAAAAAAGAGUGCCAGUAAUCUAUUCCAUGGAUUUUACAAAACCCUCAUCGCAAACAAUAACUUGGAGAAAUACUUCAUAUUAAAAAAAGGUUCAAGUUACCAAAUAAGUUCUACCACCUGCAAAUAAUGACAUGGGAUUCAAGACAGCUAUGUAACAAUACCACCAGCAAGAAGUACCAUCAAUGAGAACACAUUUUAUUCCUUCACCUUAGUAAUGCAAAUACUGUCUAUUUAUCUUAUGUCAGGCAAAAAUAGAUACAAAGCUGGCACUUCUAAAAAAUACACCAAUUAUUAUAAAUUACAAGACAUGAGCGAACAAACCCCGGUAGGCAAAGGCACCAUAAUUGCUUUCUUCUUUGAGCUUGUCUUCACACGUUCAUACCGUGUCACUCCCAGCCCCCGUUCCCUUGACCUCUCCCUCCUCAACUUCUCUUCUGGCGAUAUAUUACUCUCAUCAAGUCCACCAUCA
rnacentral:misc_RNA from 1 species